rnacentral:ncRNA from 2 species
CGGUAACAAACACAUACACCUCAUAUAACCACGGGAAUAUGGCCCGUAAGUCUCUACCCAAUCACCGUAAACGAUUGGACUAUGAGGGAAGUUACACUAUGG